rnacentral:rRNA from 1 species
GCGGCGCACGGGUGAGUAACGCGUGGAUGAUCUACCCAUGAGUUGGGAAUAACGGCUGGAAACGGUCGCUAAUACCGAAUACGCUCCGAAUUUCAACUUCGGGGGAAAGGUGGCCUCUAGCUUGCAAGCUACUGCUCAUGGAUGAGUCCGCGUCCCAUUAGCUAGUUGGUGGGGUAACGGCCCACCAAGGCGACGAUGGGUAGCCGGUCUGAGAGGACUGACCGGCCACACUGGGACUGGAACACGGCCCAGACUCCUACGGGAGGCAGCAGUGGGGAAUAUUGCGCAAUGGGCGAAAGCCUGACGCAGCGACGCCGCGUGAGGGAUGAAAGGUCCUCGGAUCGUAAACCUCUGUCAGGAGGGGAAGAACCGCCACGGUGCUAAUCAGCCGUGGUUCUGACGGUACCUCCAAAGGAAGCACCGGCUAACUCCGUGCCAGCAGCUGC